rnacentral:rRNA from 1 species
CCUACGGGAGGCUGCAGUGAGGAAUAUUGGUCAAUGGGCGUAAGCCUGAACCAGCCAAGUCGCGUGAGGGAUGAAGGUUCUAUGGAUCGUAAACCUCUUUUAUAAGGGAAUAAGGUGUGGGACGUGUCCUGUUUUGUAUGUACCUUAUGAAUAAGGAUCGGCUAACUCCGUGCCAGCAGCCGCGGUAAUACGGAGGAUCCGAGCGUUAUCCGGAUUUAUUGGGUUUAAAGGGUGCGUAGGCGGCCUGUUAAGUCAGCGGUGAAAGUCUGUGGCUCAACCAUAGAAUGGCCGUUGAAACUGGGAGGCUGGAGUAUGUUAGAGGCAGGCGGAAUGCGUGGUGUAGCGGUGAAAUGCUUAGAUAUCGCGCGGAACCCCGAUUGCGAAGGCAGCCUGCCAAGCCAUGACUGACGCUGAUGCACGAAAGCGUGGGGAUCAAACAGGAUUAGAUACCCCAGUAGUC